AGAAAGAGAACAUGAAAAUUAAUAUUCCAUCUCCUACAUGUACUAAUCAAGUUAAGCAAUACACCAAAAAAGUUGAAACAAGUGCUACAGGAAAGGGAAUAGAGCAAAGAUCUGAGUCUACAAUGUCUUCUAAAAGUACAAGAUCGAAUACUACCAAGUCUUCUAGUCAAGAAAUGC